rnacentral:tRNA from 1 species
CGGGAUGUGGCGCAGCUUGGUAGCGCACCUGCUUUGGGAGCAGGGGGCCGCAGGUUCAAAUCCUGUCAUCCCGACCA